rnacentral:rRNA from 1 species
UACGUAGGGGGCUAGCGUUGUCCGGAUUUAUUGGGCGUAAAGAGCGUGUAGGCGGCCAGGUAGGUCCGGUGUGAAAACUCGAGGCUUAACCUCGAGAUGUCAUCGGAAACCAUCUGGCUAGAGUCCGGAAGAGGAAAGUGGAAUUCCUGGUGUAGCGGUGAAAUGCGCAGAUAUCUGGAGGAACACCGGUGGCGAAGGCGGCGUCCUGGACCAAUACUGACACUGAGUGAGCGAAAGCCAGGGGAGCAAACGGG